GAGAGGGGGUGGCGGGGAGGGCGCGGCGGCUGCGGGGCGCAGGGCAGUGGUCUGCAGGGCUUCAGCCUCCCGAGGGCCAGCCUCGCCGAGCCCGGAGCUGGGUCUGAACCCUGCGCACACCAAAGACGAGGCGGCUGUGGCGGCAGCGGCGGCCCCAGCCAUGCUGUGCUAUGUGACGAGGCCGGACGCGGUGCUGAUGGAGGUGGAGGUGGAGGCGAAAGCCAACGGCGAGGACUGCCUCAACCAGGUGUGCAGGCGAUUGGGAAUUAUAGAAGUUGAUUAUUUUGGACUGCAGUUUACGGGUAGCAAAGGUGAAAGUUUAUGGCUAAAUCUGAGAAAUCGGAUCUCCCAGCAGAUGGAUGGGCUAGCCCCUUACCGGCUUAAACUGAGAGUCAAGUUCUUCGUGGAGCCUCAUCUCAUCUUACAGGAGCAGACUAGGCAUAUCUUUUUCUUGCAUAUCAAGGAGGCCCUCCUGGCAGGCCACCUCCAGUGUUCACCAGAGCAAGCAGUGGAACUCAGUGCCCUCCUGGCCCAGACCAAGUUUGGGGACCAUACCCAGAACACGGCCAAGUACAGCUAUGAGGAGCUGUGUGCCAAGGAGCUCUCCAGUGCCACCUUGAGCAGCAUUGUGGCAAAGCAUAAGGAGUUGGAGGGGACCAGCCAGGCUUCGGCUGAAUACCAAGUUUUGCAGAUUGUGUCGGCAAUGGAAAACUACGGCACAGAAUGGCAUUCUGUGAGGGACAGCGAAGGGCAGAAACUCCUCAUUGGGGUUGGACCUGAAGGAAUCUCAAUUUGUAAAGAUGACUUCAGCCCAAUUAAUAGGAUCGCUUACCCUGUCGUGCAGAUGGCUACCCAGUCAGGGAAGAACGUGUACCUGACCAUCACCAAGGAGUCUGGGAACAGCAUCGUGCUCUUGUUCAAGAUGAUCAGCACCAGGGCAGCCAGCGGGCUCUACCGAGCCAUCACCGAGACGCAUGCUUUUUACAGGUGCGACACGGUGACCAGUGCCGUCAUGAUGCAGUACAGCCGAGACCUGAAGGGCCACUUGGCUUCUCUGUUUCUGAACGAAAACAUCAACCUGGGCAAGAAGUAUGUCUUCGAUAUUAAAAGAACCUCCAAGGAGGCAUAUGACCACGCCAGGAGGGCUCUGUACAACGCGGGUGUGGUGGAUCUCGUGCCGAGAAGCGACCCCAGUCCCCCAAACUCUCCCCUGAAGUCUUUGGAGAGCGGCAUGAGCUGCGGCAGCUGCGAGGGCCUUGGCUGCCAGCAGACCCGGGCCCUCCAGGAGAAGCUGCGCAAGCUCAAGGAGGCCAUGCUGUGCGUGCUGUGCUGCGAGAGUGAGAUCGACUCAGCCUUCUGCCCCUGCGGCCACACUGUGUGCUGCGAGGGCUGCGCCGCCCAGCUUCAGUCCUGUCCUGUCUGCAGGUCACGGGUGGACCACGUCCAGCACGUCUACCUGCCGACCCACACCAGUCUUCUCAACCUGACUGUGAUCUGAUCUGCUGUGCACUUACCAGAUAUGCCAUGUCUCCAUGAACUGCACUGGUAUAAACUAUAAACAUGAUAGAUUGUGGAGAGAAUAAAUACUCCAACGCCCAUCUGCCAUGCAACGUUUAGGGGGGAAAAAAAAAAAAAGGAAGAAUAGAAACAGUAUGACUACUCCUCACCGCCAAAAUGUACCAUGCGUAGAAUCAGCACCUCUGGGUUGGUGACCAGGAAGAGCUCUGGGACCCAGACACAUUCCUUGGACUUUUCUUCUUUUUUAUGAUCAAGUAAAGAAAUCAGGAAGAUCUUUGACGUCAGUUAAGUGGCAGCAUAGCCCAAAAGAUUGGAAUGUAGGUGAAAAUAGGGUAAUGUACGCAAGCAGACGAAAAGUAAAAAUUGGGAAAAGGACUGUAAAGUAUUGGAGAAGGAAGGGAAUGGCGAAGUUGGAAGUUAAAACUGUAAACCCAGAUGAUGCCGCUAGUGCGUUGCCUGGUCAGGACAGACAUUAAGUAAUAUUCAAAACGAUGGAAUAUUAACACUGGAGGAGGGGAUCUUAAAUGUGGUAGCCUCAAAAUGCUGGCCAGAAUAAUGGAUGGAUGGAUGACAGGCCAACAAAUGGAUAAGAUAUUGUUCACCGCACUACACCAUGGACUCCUCAAGCUCAGUGACUAACAUGAAAACUAAUGUAUUACAAAGUGACUUAAGAGAGCUAAAAGAAAAGUGCUGGUUAGGAACAGAAGGUGAUGGUUAAUUCUCCUUAAGAGCCAAGGGAUCACAGGGGGAACUGACACCGUAAACAGAAUGCCGGUGCACUACACCUCAUAAUGAAGCAGGUACUGGGUACUAUGGAAGAGCAGAAUAAGAUGCCACUAACUUUGCCUGGGGUUGAAAAGAUUUCUGGAAGAAAGUCACAGCGCAGAUGACUCUUAAAAGAUGAGUUGAAACUUGCCCAGACACCAUAAGCAGCAACAAAGAGAGGAAACAAGAAAAUGAGCCUAAUAAAUAUAAGGAAGGAAAAUACGGAGGAAGAAAGAACAAAGGAAUGGAAAAUAGUUUUCUUUAAACUCAGGGCUGUUUACUACUUAUGAACCAUGAGGGUAAAGUGCAAUGUCAGGAGAGUGAAGAUGGUAGAAUUCAUUCCUUACUGUAUGUCUCUGACCAUCGACAGUCAUCCCUCAGUAUCCACAGGAUUUGGCUCCAGGACCCUUCACAGAUUCCGAAAUCUGCAGAUGCUCACGUUCCUUGUAUAAAAUGGUGUGGUAUUUGCAUAUAACCUAAGCGUGUCCUCCCGUGUACUUUAAAUCAUCUCUAGAUUACUUGUAACACCUAAUACAAUGGAGCUGCCAUGGAAAUAGUUGGCAACAUGCAACGAAUUUCAGUUUUGCUUUUUGGAGCCUUUUGGAAUUUUGUUUUUUCAAAUAUUUUUGAUUCAUGGUUGAAUAUUAGAAUAUGGAACCCACAGAUACAGAGAGCUGACUGUAUAUGCAGUUUGUCAAGAGAUGAUGCAAGCCACAUCUGUUAAUGGAAGCCUUCACGGAGGCUUGGUGCAAGAAAUCAUUGGGUUAUCAGUAGAGCUCAGCUUUUCAGCUCACAAGUUGCUCAGCUAUACUGUAAAAGGAAGAAACUGAAUCUGUCUGUCAGGACCUCAGUUUACUGCCCUUGAACUUGAGUAUCAGUGGCUUAGGAAUGAAGGAAAGAUCAUAUUUGAAUGUAAAUGUCUAGCUUGUUAUCCUGAAUCAUCUGAGUCAUAAGAUAACAUCUCUGUCUUUUAAGGAAAACCAAAGACUGCUUAUCUCAAUGCUACUGGGUGUCAGCCACCAGGGCCGGCACCACCCCAGGCACCUGCUGCACCUGGACAGGGCAUCCAGCUGACAUAUUACUGUUUGACACAUUGCUGCCUAUAAACACAUCUGCUCAGGGCGCUUGCCACUGCUGGCAGAGCUCAACCCGUACUCCUUGAAAGUCAAAAUCCUUCAUCACUUAGCCUCUACAUACCUUUCUAGACUGGGUUCUUGUUCCACCUGUUAUCCCACCAGUGCUGAGACUGGAGUAAACUAUUCAGCUCUUCUGAAUGUGGUUUGCAUCCCCUCUCUUCGCACUCCCGGACCUUUGCUGAAAUGUUUCCUGAUGCCUGGAGAGCUUUUUUUUCUUGCCUCUUUGCAUCGUGGCUGUAUUCACCUGACCUAAACUUUCUUCAGGCUCCAGCUUAAAUCUCCCCACUUGCACAAGUUCUUCCACGAAUCUUCCCUCCUCUGUCAAAAUGAAUUUCUUCCUCCAUUAUAACUGAGAGCACUGUGCACCAACACAUAGCAUCGGAGGGUUUUUGUUUGCAUUUUAAUGCAUAUGCCUGGGUUACAAUAGCUCCUCCUUUGUACUUACUGUUAUCUAGCAUACUAUAUAUUUACUUAUUUAUUUCUUUAUUGUCUGUCUGCAUAAAGUACAGGGACUUUGUCUGCUUUGUUUAUUGCUGUAUCCCCAUCGUCUGAACAGUGCUUAACAGAUAGUCGGUACUCAAUAAACAUUUUUAAAAUUAAUAAGGGAGUGACUCAUGGGAGCCUAGAAAUCCCAGAUUGCCCUCAUCUUUCCAUCACCUCAGAGUGGCUGGCAAAGUGCUUUGCACAUGAUUCUCAAAUCCAACUGGAUUCAAGAGCCAGCCACCGGGAUCUGGCUAUGUGUAUCUCCUCUGCUUUGAAGAGAUGUGUAUUUAACUGGGAUUAUACAGCUGUAGUGCUGUGAGGCAGGCAGACAUGAUGGAGGAUGAGACUCUUACAGGAAAAUUCUAGGUUAAUAGGCAACCCUAAUUGCUAAAUCUAUUUAGGAAGAGGAAAUCAGUUAAAUUAAGAAUCCUUCAUGUAAGAGAACCCAGUAAGAAGCCGUUGGGCAAAAUUUUUCAUUUCUCAUUCACUUCAGUCAGCUUCCUUAGAGAAGGCAGCAAGACAGCAGGACUUCAGCAAGAGUAUUUUAUUGGCCCCAAAGCUAAGCUCUCAUGACUACAGAAACCAAGAGGAAAGGACAAGCUGGUCUUUGGCUACUAGAUUCUUCUUUGGCAUGUGCUCGGGAGGAAGCUGGCAUGUCGUCUCUCCUAAGAUUGAAAGGACUAUCACUGCGAAAGCUGAGGCUCUCAUGCUUGAGUCUUUGCCAGCAUGCUUCCAAUUUGGAGAGUUAAUCCCCCUAAUUGGGUACAAUCAGACCCAUCUCCACUGAAGCCAGCAACACAGAAGCCCCAUGCAAUUCACCUCUAUUGCUGAAACAGUUACUUGUCUUCAGUUAUUUGGUCUGAAAAGAUAAAUCUUUUUUCCCCUUAAUAUUUGCAAGUUUAAAGUGUUUCCAUCCUCAUCUUCUGCAGCACCUUAAGAGUCACAGGGUCCAUUCCUUUUUUCUGAGAAAUCCAACAAAAUAUAUUAAAAAUGAAGAUAUACAAUAAUAUGAAUAUAAGAAUUACCAACAUCAAUUCCAACAGAAGUAUUUUAUGUAAAUACAUGUAGUCAGAGCUUGUAUUCAGAAGCAGAGUGGUAACCUUAGUAUCAGCUCCCUCAAGAUUCUAGCUAAGCUCUGUCAUGAACAGUGUGAAUUAGGGCAAGCAAUAACUCUGAUUUCCUCAUCUAUAAAGUAGGGAUAAAAAUAAUACCUAUUCACAGUUAUUUUGCAAAGAUUAAAUGAGAUAACGCUCAUAUAGCACUUAGCACUGCACCUGGAAUAUAGUAACCACUUCAUAAGUGAUGAAUGAAUGAAUUAAUAAACUGCCAGGUAUCCUUCAAACCACUGAUCCAGACCUGCUACAUUUCUGAGACAACAGGACUUAUUCUCAUGCCCCAAACAAGUGGGUCCCAAGGCUACUGUUUACAGCUGUUCUGGUUGUAACCUAAGGGACACCAUUCACAGUUCAUACCCCAAGGAUUUGUAUAUUAACUAUUACAAUUUUACUGCAUAUUACAAUGCUUUUCUAAUAGAUGGAAAAGUGUCAAGAGGAAGGGGAGACUUUUUCUACUUUGCACAAAGGCACUGUACGGGCAAGUCCUGGCCCUGGGCAGUAAAGACAAGCAUUGGCGCCAGCUCCCUGCAUGAAAGCAAGCCGGGUUAGAUGACUGGUUUUAGCCACAGUUGGGCUCAUUCACGGGACUCUAAACACUAUAAGUAUUGUUGAAUAGGGCUGAAAAGCUGCUCUCACUGGACAGUCAUUUGGUUUGUAAAUGUUAGCUACUGUGCUGUCCUUACUAUAAUCAUUAUUUCAUUUUACUGUAUUAUUUAAUAUGUUUGAAUUCAUCACAGAGGCCAUGCUUGUCUCUGUGACGAGACAAUAGUUUGUCAGCAUCAUCUACCUGCCAUAAUGAAGAUCAAAAGGCAAACCAAGUUAGCAUAAUACCAUCCUGAAGCCAGCCACCCCUCCCUGGAACUAGGCCCUCUGCAGACCCAGCCUCUCUCUUUGGACUGAAAACAGGGCCUGAAUCUGGACAGAGGGCCUGAACUACCCCAGCUGGCUAACUGGGGGAUGACAAGAAGGAUGGGUAAAAUAAAACAAGGUUUGUGAGUUCUGGAAAGCAAAGUUAACCAUCAUGACAACCACAGGGCAGCAAUCAGAGAUGGCCUCUUGAGUGGCUACCUGAACAAGGUGUCCUGGGAACCAGAAACAGUCACAAGGACAGGCUGUAGCUCCAGCAUAGGAGUCUCUCCCUUCUUCAAGCCCCUAUAACACACUAUUUGUACUUCCCUAUAUCAGACUUAUACAUUGCCUGGUCAUCUCCCUGGAAGUGUGUUCAUAAAGGGCAAAGGAUAUAAGAACCGUGACUCCUCUCUCGCUUGCUUGUUUAUACCGCAAUAGCAAGUCCAUGCUGGUUGAUCCACCCACUUUCGUAAUACACUUCUCUAUAUCUUAAUUAUCUUGGUGGUGGUUACACAACUCUAUGCAUUUCUGAAAACCCACAGAACUGUACACAACAAAAGAGUGACUGUUAUUGUGUGUAAAUGAGAGGUGAUGGCAGACACCAUUGUCGCCUACCCAGUAGCCUUUCUCCCAUACCCUGCCUGCCAAUUCCUCUUGUCGUUGGUUGGUUUAAGAAUGGCCUUUGAAAAUGAAAACACAAUGUCAGAGAUAUUUGUAUCUCCACAUUCAUUGCAGCGUUAUUUACAAGAGCUAAGACAUGGAAACAACCUAAGUGUCCAUCAGCAGAUGAAUGGAUAAAGAAGAUGUGAGAUAAAUAUGAUAGAAUGGUGUUAAGCCAUAAAAAAGAAACAAAUCCUGCUAUUUGUGAUAAUGUGGAUGGACCUUGAGGGCAAUAUGCAAAGUGAGAUAAACCAGAUAGAGAAAGAAAAAUACUGCAACAUUUGACAUAAUUCUUACCAAUCAAAGAUUUGAAGGUGUGGAAGCUUCUGCUUGAGUUCUUUCUUUAAAAAGGGGUUUUAGGGGGGCUCGUGUGCCCUUUUCUUUUGUGGCUUUUGGUAUUGUGUGAGGAUGUGAUGUCUGGAGCUGCUACUGCAAUCUUGUGAAAAUGAGGAGAGCUAGCACACAUGCAAAGUAUGGCAGAUCAGCCAGGUCAUCCUGACAACAUUGAGCAGCUGAAUUCACUGAUCCUGGAGACCCAGCCCGCCCUAGCCCACUCCUACUACCUCCUGACUUAACCACUAUGGGAGGUAAUACAUUUUUUCUUAUUAUUAAAGCUGCUUUAUUUGGUUUUCCUAUUACCUACAGCCGGAAACAUUGUGAUUAAUACACUGGUGCCAUGCUGUUAGAAAUGGGUCAGGAGUCCUCCUGUAGAGUAUCCAAGAACAAACACACGGCAGAUGUCUGUUAUGCCAUCUCCAAGAUACACUGUUUGUUCUGUUGCAGCAUUGUCUCUUGGUUACCAGUUGGCUUUUGCUACCUAUGGAGCCACUUGUACCUAAUUCAACCAAUAACAAACUCUAGAAACUUAAGACAACAGCACCUUUAAGGCUGUUAAAAUUUGUCUUGGUUUCCAUGAUGAUCCAUUUCCUUUUCCUCCUCUCUGGGUCCUUUCCUGCUGGAUGAAUACUCCAUUUUCAGCCCCUCACAUGUAUAGUCUCUUACUGAGUCUGCUGUCAACGGGGCUUUCCAAUGACUUCUUUGUUGUCGUCAUCUGUCUAAAGCUUCACCUUUCUUUAGCAUUUAUUUUCAUCUGAAAACUCUAUAGGGACUUCCCUGGCGGCACAGUGUUAAGAAUCCGCCUGCCAAUGCAGGAGACACAGGUUCAAGCCCUGGUCCGGGAAGAUCCCACAUGCCGCAGAGCGACUAAGCCCGUGCACCACAACUACUGAGCCUGUGCUGUAGAGCCCACGUGCCACAACUACUGAAGCCCGCACGCCUACAGCCUAUGCUUCGCAACAAGAGAAGCCACUGCAAUGAGAAGCCUGCACACCACAACGAAGAGUAGCCCCCGCUCGCUGCAGCUAGAGAAGACCCCACGUGCAGCCACAAAGAUCCAGCGCAGCCAAAAAUAGAUAAAUAAAAUUUAAAAAAUUU